UACGUAGGGGGCAAGCGUUGUCCGGAAUCAUUGGGCGUAAAGAGCGUGUAGGCGGCCCGGUAAGUCCGCUGUGAAAGUCAAGGGCUCAACCCUUGAAUGCCGGUGGAUACUGCAGGGCUAGAGUCCGGAAGAGGCGAGUGGAAUUCCUGGUGUAGCGGUGAAAUGCGCAGAUAUCAGGAGGAACACCGAUGGCGAAGGCAGCUCGCUGGGACGGUACUGACGCUGAGGCGCCGAAAGCGUGGGGAGCAAACAGG
rnacentral:rRNA from 1 species